rnacentral:rRNA from 1 species
GUCCACGCCGUAAACGAUGAGUGCUAGGUGUGGGGGGUGUCGACUCCCUCCGUGCCGCAGCUAACGCAUUAAGCACUCCGCCUGGGGAGUACGGCCGCAAGGCUAAAACUCAAAGGAAUUGACGGGGGCCCGCACAAGCAGCGGAGCAUGUGGUUUAAUUCGACGCGACGCGAAGAACCUUACCUAGGCUUGACAUGCACGGGAAUGUCGUAGAAAUAUGGCAGCCCUUCGGGGCUCGUGCACAGGUGGUGCAUGGCUGUCGU